CCUUAGCAUUGCAGCUUUGGACUGAGCCGCUCUCACGCGGGGGGUUCAUGGUGUUUUUAUAAACCCUGCACUUUCCACCCAAGUGGCAAUGACACCAGCUUUUACCGAAAGCCCUAUUACUCUUAAAAGAGCAAUUUAGUAGCGUGCACGGCUAUUAGGCUCAGGCAGCCGGGCUUUGAGCUGUCAGUGCUACUGCCUCUCUUCUGUUUUGACCAAGCCUAGCAUAUUUUCUAGCUCAUUUCUGCUGGACAUAGUCAUUACAUUUCUUUUUUUAUAUUUGUCAAUCAAUCUCCAGUGAAAACAAAGGGAUAUAUCCUGACUAUAAGCAAAGUGACGGGGAAGAGAUGUGCAUUUUUGCUGGCGUGAACUAGCAGUGGUGCUCGCUGCCUGCUCUGUGUGUUGAUGAAACAGGAGCAGUGAGCAAUGUGCUUUACCUCAGGGCUACAUGUAUGAGAUAUUGCUUCUACAUCCAGCGAUGGCAAACCAACUGUGCGCUCUGAUUCUUCAGUGAUUGAUGACUUCUCUCCGAUCGGGGAAAAAGAGAAAAGAAAAAGGGGCUCUGUGGAGUACAAGGAGAUGUUAGGAAUGGUGUGAAAUGAUCAUCUGGACAUGUUAUCUUCAGCGAAACCCAGGACCAUCACCCCUGAACUUAUCUUCAUCCUUCUGCUCGUCUUCCAUGGUGGAACUUUAAGUAAGGUUAGCAGGACCAAAGGCAAGAACUGGAAAGGGGGAGAACUUUGCUGAGUCUUCUGGGAUUUGUACACAAGUCAUAAAACCCCAGAGGAGAGAAGAAACAAAUAGGAAUAUACAAAAAGAGAGCAACAACAGAGAAUUAUAUGUAACCGCAAAAUGGAUUAAAACUGAGUUGAAGUUAAGUAAAUCAUCUGCAGCUGAGAAUGUAAUAAAG